rnacentral:rRNA from 1 species
AGAGUACGUGAAACCGCUUAGAGGUAAACGGGUGGAUCCGCAAAGUCGGCCCGGGGAAUUCAACUUGUCGUUGUCGGGCGGCGGGCGUCUGGUUCUAGGGAUCCGUAAAGACCCACCAGGCGUUCGGCCGUCGUCGACGAGUGCACUUUCCUCGGGUAGAGCGCCACGACCGGUUUCGGACGGCGGUCACAAGCCGGACGGGAAGGUGACCUGACAUCCUCGUGGUGGCCAGGUGUUAUAGCCCGUCUAGUGUCGACUCGUCCCGAGACCGAGGAUUUGCCGCACCUCGACUGCUCUCGGCUCUCUGCGUGCGUUCGACUGGGGAAGCCACUGCUUG